UUCUGCUCUCAGACUCUCUUCUAUUCCUCUUAGCCGAUUAAAACCAGAUGAGUUUUUCUCAGCCUUUCUUCUCUUCCUCUUAGCCGAUGAACCAGAUUGAGUUUGAUGAAUCAGUUUCAAUUCAGUUUGUUCAUCACCUGUAAUAGGAUUUUUAGGACUUCGUAAAUUGAUUUUAGGGUUUCAAUCUAUAUUAUGAUUCAUUUUUUCGAUUUUAAUUUGUUCGUCGAAGUUCAAACUUGGAAGAACUGAUCUUCACUCUCAGCUAAUCGUGAGAAAGCAUCUGUUCUACUUUUUUUAAUUUAGAUGCAGAUGGGAAUGAAGUUGAUAAGUUGACUGAGAAGCUACAAAGGGGUUUGGUAGUAUUAAUCAACUGGUUUUGGGUUUCGCUUGCUUUGUAUUUCUACGACAAAUUUCAGGUGGUUUCUCAAUCAACUGUCACUGGUUGGAUCGGCACAUUGUAUUGCUGUUUCUGGUAAUAUUGUUUCGAAUUGAAUUUGCAUACUGAAUCGAAGAUGUCCAUACAAUAUUGAUUUUGAAAAUAUGUUCGUUGAGUAUCGAAGAUGUCCAUACAGUAUUGAAUUUGUAUUGAAUUUGAAUGUUUGUUCGAACUGAAACUCUUGAUGCAGAUGCGGUUGAUGCCGGUGAUAGAGCUGAGGAUGAAGAUGAGGAAGACGAUGGUACAUUUUCUAAUUGUCAUGUAAUUUGUUUAUUCAUGCAAGUUCUUUUUUAUCAUUUGCAGUUAAGGUUUCUUGGGUUUGUGCCGUUAUUUUAAAAAAGUUAGGGUUAGUUAUUAUUUGUUCUGGGUGUAACGAGGUUUACAUUGUUUGUAAUUGUGUAGAGGAAGGGGAAGAUGAGUAUGAGAAGGGUGGGGUUAUAGUAGACGAUGUUGAUGUAGAAGAUCAGGAUAAAGAAGAGAACAGGGAAAGUAGUGAUGAGGAUAAACAAAAGGAGAGGAAAAAGUGGUUGAUUUUCUGUCCCCAAAUUCUUUAAGGCUUUCAUUUAUAUAUUUCAUUGUUUUAUUUUACUAUUAUGAAUGUAGGGAAUCUGGUUACUAUUGGUUACAAUCUGGUUACUAUUAUGUCUUAGCUGAGGAUGAUUAAGAGUUACUGCAGGAUUGCAAUGCGGGCUUUCAUCGUCCUGCACCAGGAAGUAAAAAGUUCAAGCGACUAAAGAAAGCGGGAGGGGUAAUUAUUUGGAGGAUCAUACUGGUCUAUCUGACAAUGAUGCAGCGGAUAGAAGUGGUUGUAAGGGAAGCAGUGCUGAAGAAAGCGGGAAGGGGUAAUUAUUUGGAGGUAUGGCAGAGUUUGAUACUUUAUUAGCAAUUGGAGUUAAAAUAAGUGUUCUGAUGUUUUUCUUAGAUUGAACUGGAUGUAAAAAGAAGUGUUUUGUUAAUGAAUUUAUAGUUAUUGUUGCUAAGAUUCCUUUGAUAUUUGAUUUUUGAAAAAAAUAUUGAAAACUUGGAUGA